UGAGGAGGUUUCGGACCCCUAUGAGAGGUCCAGGAUCUCGGUGGCUGGCUCGGAGCUUCCCUUCCUCGGGGACACGUGGCGUCUCCGGACCCGUCCCAGAACAGGGAGCGGAUCCGGGGCCGUUGGCUCGGUGAGGUAAGUGCCUGUCCUGUGGGCCCUGGUUGCUCCGCCCUUUACCGCGUAGUUACGGAUGACUACGCGGGUCCUGCCUUGCUGCAGUAGAAGUGGGUAUCCCUGCUACAGGGUACUGAAAGUGUUGAUAUUAGAAUUCCACAUGAGUCUUCACUCUUGCUCGAGUCUGGGGGAGCUAUAUUGUGGAAGGCUCCACCCAAACUCAGUUGAGUUUCUCAGUUGUGGCAUGUUUUGAUCCAUAUCAGAAAUUAAGAUUGAGAAUUAAGUUUUCAGCAUGAGAUCAAUUUGAGUUACUUUCUUAGAAUUAAAAGAAUUGAUCCCGGAAUCACCAUAAGAAGUGCAGUUUAGUUUUGAGUAACAUGUCUAGUGGUACUGCCAAACCCAUGGUCUCAAAUCUAUCAACAAGCUCAAUCAUCACUGGAUGAGAUCUCAUAUACCCUAGGUCUAUGGUUUGAUGCUUAAAAAUAGUUUUCUUAACCAUAUGACCAAAAUAGGCGUCCUAUUGUACCUGGGUAUGGAAGAAGAGCACAUUGGUAUCCUUGUCUUCAUAAAAUUGAUUGAUUGAUCCAGCAUUAGAAUAGGCCUCAGCCGUCUAGUCCCUUCCUAGGAUGCUCAGAGCCUGAAUGUCCAAGACAUCAUCCUCAUCACUCUCAACUGCCUCAUCUGAAGAAUCCCCAACACCAGCCACUGAGGAUGUUGCAGCCAUAUCCCUAGGAUUAGGACUGUAGUCCUCAUCAUUUGAGUCAUCACGAUCCCUUUGUCUUUUUGAUGCACUGGCCUUCUUAAUCUUUGAAGUUGUGGCCUUGAGAAUUUUCCUUGGUGGCCUGAGAUCAAAAGUCAUACAUAAGAAUCAUUGCUCAAUUAUAAGUAUCAAAUAAACAAUCUUUUGUCAUGACAGUGCUGUUCUACAGAAACAGUGCAGCGGCGGACCGUCCGUAGUUCACAUAAAUGCACAGGCAGACCGUCUGUUUGGGUGUCAUGGACUAUCCGCGAUUCGCUGCGCAGACACAGUAACAGAAUUUGCCCCAAACUUAGAUUCAUCCAAAAAUUGAGAUUUAAUCCAAUGUGACCAACCAAAAUUUUGCCAUGACAUCUCCUCAACACUAGCAACAAGAUCUCCAAACUGAUUUCAUGAAUCCAAGGUCCAAUUUCAUAUUAGAGCCUCUAACACUAACCAUAUCCAUUGAAGAAAUCCAAGAACAUGAGAGAGACAGAGAGUCCAAUGAAAUAUCACGAGGACCUGAUGGAUUGUCGCAGAGAGUACGGGGAUGAGCUCGGACCGUCCGAGAAUCACGCCAAAAGUCCUCCCCCUUGAAGGUUCUUCCCACGUGCUUGAGAGGAUGAAAAAGACCUUAUGGAGAGAGUAUCUGUCAGUUUGGUGGGGGAAGAGAGGGACUUGGGCAUAUAAGUCCACGGGCGGCUUGGCCCCACAACUUUCCGUAGGUGCGGAUCGUCCGCGGUCCCAUGGCGGACCAUCCGCCCGUCAAUUUUUUACUCAAACCUGAGCUGAAACUGCUUCUGUAAAAAAUUUCCUCUAUCAACUGCGGAUCGUCCGCGGACAACUGGCGGACCGUCCGCGACUGUAAACUCCACCUCUUGCAGUUACUCCUGUGAGUGACUUGACAACCUUGUAGUGUCAUUUCACAUAGUGACUUAGCACUUUGAAUGAUGGAUAAAACUAAUUAAUUUAAUUUUCAGUAAUUUUUUGAAUCAAGUCAAAUUUGAACCACUAGUCAUUCAAAUAUAUGAAAAAAUGAGUACAAACUUGAUAUUCAUGGUAUUCAAUCAACAUUUAGGCCAUAGCUAUGAAACCAAAAGAAAUUUUGAACAUCUUGUUCAGGAAACACGACCUCCACCGUGUGCCUAAGCGGUUUUUAAAUUCUAUAAAAAGCAAAGAAAGUCCAAAAAUUAUGAAAUUUGACAAGAUGUCAUGAUAUCGUAUGUGGAGGUUGUGGUAAAAAAUUGAGAAGGUUUCGCAUAGGUUGUCACGUACGUUGCUCACAACCCGAACAUCUCUAAAGAAGUUUCAUGAUUGUUGAGAAUGAUCCGGUAUGAUUUGGAGUGAAAGUGACAGUCGAGCUGUGGUUUGACUCCCAAAAUUUUGUAUAGCCAAUAGACAUCAAAGAUCGUGUCAUGUUAAAUUUUGGUAAUUUUUUGGAACCGUUGAUAAUUUUUAUUUUUUAACUACAUUUGUAUAAAUGAAAUUUGAGCCAAAACUACGUGAAAUAAUGAUCAAUUUUUCGCUAAAGCAUCAAAUAUGCAUCGACGAAUGAAUGUGGUAAGGUAUUUUCAAAGUUUGUUGGAACAAAGUUUGAAAAUAUGAGACCCAAAAAACUCCUCAAGAGGGUCUUUUUAUUUUUUAGACUCCAACCUCUUUUUAGAGUCUUUUAGACUCUCGUGUUUGGGUUUUUAGACUCAUAAGACCCAGAGACUUAUGAAAAAGACCCAUGAAAUAAACGCCACCACCCCCGCAAGGCCGCAAAUAAUCGCCUCCUACCUCCCUCCCUCUGUCUGCAUGCCUCCGCCGGUGCUACCUCCACCCCAACCUUCCCCAGAUCUGCGCCGCCCCAGUUCCCCACCGCCCCUCCUCCUCGCCUCCUCGCGGCUACGACGGCGGCUGUGGGCUGCAGCAGGAGUACAACGGCGGCGGGAGGAGGGGCUCGCGGCGGUGGUCCAAGAAGUAGGCCACCGCGGUGAGGGGCUACGGCGGCUGUGGCGUCAAGCGGGCGGAGGCCUCCUGUAGAUGUGCUGCUCCGUGAUGCAGGAAGGGUAUCUCAUCGUCGGCGCUGCCGUACAAGAGGACUUCCCUGACCCGGCUCAAGAUUGCUGCCUCCGAUGAAGAACUAAAGUUUCAGUUGUUUGGUGUUGCUAAGUGGAGCUUGGAGCUGUUGCUGAUGUCUCUUGUGUGAAUCUACAGCACAUUGCAAGGGUGAGGUAUUUGUUCCAAUAGCUAAGCUUCAGUGUCAGCUAUUAUCACUUCAUAGUCAGAACAGCAAUCAUGAAGGUAUAUAUGUGCUGUCUUUUGCUCUUAGGGUUGGCCAUGUUAAUAUUGAUUCCUGUAAAGAAAGUAUCACAGUAGCAUGAUAUUGAUUCCUGUAAAGAAAGUAUCACAGUAGCUAUUUACGCUUGGCAUCACUCAUAAACUUUCAGCUCUGUUUUUUCAAAAAAA